rnacentral:rRNA from 1 species
AUUGAACGCUGGCGGCAGGCCUAACACAUGCAAGUCGAGCGGAUGAAGGGAGCUUGCUCCUGGAUUCAGCGGCGGACGGGUGAGUAAUGCCUAGGAAUCUGCCUGGUAGUGGGGGAUAACGUCCGGAAACGGGCGCUAAUACCGCAUACGUCCUGAGGGAGAAAGUGGGGGAUCUUCGGACCUCACGCUAUCAGAUGAGCCUAGGUCGGAUUAGCUAGUUGGUGGGGUAAAGGCCUACCAAGGCGACGAUCCGUAACUGGUCUGAGAGGAUGAUCAGUCACACUGGAACUGGAACACGGUCCAGACUCCUAGGGGAGGAAGCAGUGGGGAAUAUUGGACAAUGGGCGAAAGCCUGAUCCAGCCAUGCCGCGUGUGUGAAGAAGGUCUUCGGAUUGUAAAGCACUUUAAGUUGGGAGGAAGGGCAGUAAGUUAAUACCUUGCUGUUUUGACGUUACCAACAGAAUAAGCACCGGCUAACUUCGUG